rnacentral:rRNA from 1 species
UGUAAGCGUAUACCAAAGUUGUUGCAGUUAAAACGCUCGUAGUCGGAAUUUGGCAGUUCCGGAUGUGUGCACGUCGUGUGCGCACUUCGCGGGGAUUGCUUUUGUGGUCUUGCGUAGGAUGAGGCACUUUUAUUAGUGAACGUCCUCACGCAACCACUUUUUACUGUGAGAAAAUCAGAGUGCUCAAAGCAGGCAUUUGCCGUGAAUGUAUUAGCAUGGAAUAAUAGAAUAGGACUUGGUUCUAUUUUGUUGGUUUGUUGGGACUGAGUAAUGAUUAGGAGGGACAGUUGGGGGCAUUUGUAUUUCGGUGCUAGAGGUGAAAUUCUUAGAUUACCGAAAGACAAACUGCUGCGAAAGCGUCUGCCAAGGAUGUUUUCAUUGA